UAGGGAAUCUUCGGCAAUGGACGAAAGUCUGACCGAGCAACGCCGCGUGAGUGAAGAAGGUUUUCGGAUCGUAAAACUCUGUUGUUAGAGAAGAACAAGGACGUUAGUAACUGAACGUCCCCUGACGGUAUCUAACCAGAAAGCCACGGCUAACUACGUGCCAGCAGCCGCGGUAAUAGGUAGGUGGCAAGCGUUGUCCGGAUUUAUUGGGCGUAAAGCGAGCGCAGGCGGUUUCUUAAGUCUGAUGUGAAAGCCCCCGGCUCAACCGGGGAGGGUCAUUGGAAACUGGGAGACUUGAGUGCAGAAGAGGAGAGUGGAAUUCCAUGUGUAGCGGUGAAAUGCGUAGAUAUAUGGAGAAACACCAGUGGCGAAGGCGGCUCACUGGUCUGUAACUGACGCUGAGGCUCGAAAGCGUGGGGAGCAAACAGG
rnacentral:rRNA from 1 species